rnacentral:rRNA from 1 species
UGAAUACGAGACGCUAAGGCGUCGAAGUAGUGUAUGUCAUACUUCCAAGAAAAGCUUGCACUGUCAUAGAUAAAAAACGCCUGUACCAUAACCGACACAGGUGGGUAGGUAGAGUAUACUGAGGGGCGCGAGAUAACUCUCUCUAAGGAACUCGGCAAAAUAACUCCGUAACUUCGGGAGAAGGAGUGCCUUAUUCGUAAGGUUGCAAUAACAAGAUCCAAGCAACUGUUUAUCAAAAACACAGGUCUCCGCUAAGUCGUAAGACGAUGUAUGGGGGCUGACGCCUGCCCAGUGCCAGAAGGUUAAAGAAGUUGGUUAGCAAUUGCGAAGCUGAUAACUGAAGCCCUGGUGAACGGCGGCCGUAACGAUAACGGUCCUAAGGUAGCGAAAUUCCUUGUCGGGUAAGUUCCGACCCGCACGAAAGGCGUAAUGAUUUGGAUACUGUCUCGGAGAGGGGCUCGGUGAAAUAGACUUGUCUGUGAAGAUGCGGACUACCUGCACCAGGACAGAAAGACCCUAUGAAGCUUUACUGUAACUUGAAAUUGAAAUUGGACUUUAUUCGCGCAGUAUAGGUGGGAGGCGUUGAUUAUAAUCUUGUGGGAUUAUUGGAGCCAUCAGUGAGAUACCACUCUUGUAAUGUUAGAUUUCUAACUUUGAAUCAUUAUCUGGUCAAAGAACAGUUUCAGGCGGGCAGUUUGACUGGGGCGGUCGCCUCCUAAACGGUAACGGAGGCGUACAAAGGUUUCCUCUGAACGGUUAGAAAUCGUAUCUAGAGUGUAAAGGCAUAAGGAAGCUUGACUGUGAGACCUACAAGUCGAGCAGGGACGAAAGUCGGUCUUAGUGAUCUGACGGUACUGAGUGGAAAGGCCGUCACUCAACGGAUAAAGGUUACUCUAGGAUAACAGGCUGAUCUCCCCCAAGAGUUCACAUCGACGGGGAGGUUUGGCACCUCGAUGUCGGCUCAUCGCAUCCUGGGGCGGUAGUACGUCCCAAGGGUUGGGCUGUUCGCCCAUGAAAGCGGUACGCGAGCUGGGUUCAGAACGUCGUGAGACAGUUCGGUCCAUAUCCGGUGUAGGCGUUAGAAUAUUGAGAGGAGCCUUCUUUAGUACGAGAGGACCGAGAAGGACAUACCUCUGGUGUACCAGUUAUCGUGCCAACGGUAAACGCUGGGUAGCUAUGUAUGGAGUGGAUAACCGCUGAAAGCAUCUAAGUGGGAAGCCCACCUCAAGAUAAGUAUUCUCAUC